AAAGAAUUCUUCAUUCUCAACUGUCUUAUUAAGAACUCAGCAACAAAUCCAUUUCGUUUUAUCAACUUAAUUGCUGUUUGGACAACUAAAACAUUUAUUAGUAAAUUUGAUAUCAUAAGAAUAUAUGUAGAAAUAUUUUAAAAUUUAAGAGUAGAUGACGUAAAAUUAUUCAUAAAUUUUUAAUGACUAUACCGAUGCUCCCCUUGAACCAUUCUCUAUCAGCCUUGGAAUAUCUGAAAAUUAUAUCGUUUCCGGUUAUUCAAGUGGUGACCCGGAUCAUAUGGAGGUCAUUUUUCUUGAAAUGGUUUUGCUUAAAUGAGCUGCAAAUUUAUUUAAUAAAUAUGGGUUAUAAUAAAUUUAUCAAUAGUAUCAGUUGUAAUUUAAGGCGGUACCACAAUUAUAUAAGCUGAACUACGUGUAAUUUUACAAGUAUAAAUGUUAGUAUUUAAAUACAUUCAUUUAACUUAAUUUUGUUUCAGUUUAAAAUCUGAUUUCAUUAUUUAGAUUAAGGUUUUUUAUUUUGCAUUAUUUGCGUCAGUCAUUAAAUGGACAUUUUCAUUGUUUAAAUAAAUUAGAAUAAUUAGCCGUAUUAUCUAGUAGUGAUGGAUUUUAUUUUUAGCAUCGUAUAUACUGUAUUCUUCCAUCAGCGUUCAUCCGUCUAGGAAAAAGUGACAAACAUUCCUUUGGAAGUAUCAUUAUGUGAGAUUACUCGAUGGAAAGCCUUUCCAUUUGGAGUCUCAAUAUAGAGGAAAGCUUUUGUAAUGUGUGUAGAUAUCAUACACUUGUCGUGUAAAUCGUAAUGAAGGUUUAGUUCUUUUUAGCUACAUAAAGUACUUUUACACAUUUUAGUAUUAAUUGUCACGAUUGAAAAUUUUAGACGAGAUAUGAAGAAUUUCAGUUAAUACACUAGCAACUUGCCAAGUAUAAAGGUAGAGAAUAAAGUAUAGAACCUGUUUUUCUGGUUGUAGAAUUUAAUAUUAACAGAAGUCCCAAGGCACAAGAGAGUUAUCUUGGUUAUGUGAAAGCUUCUUUGUUUUCAAAACGUUUUAGUAAAGACCUGAAUUUCAUUUUGAAUGUCUUUUUAUGGGUCACUCUCGUAUUUGAGUUCAAGGUUAUGUGUGUCACAUAGUUUUUCUCUCUCUAUUAUCAAUGAUGAUAGUUUAUAAGUGCAGUUAAAAGAUUAAUUUUUAGUAAUAAGAAAUCGUAAAAAUAU
rnacentral:lncRNA from 1 species